rnacentral:snoRNA from 1 species
GUGUAAAGAGUAUCUUCAGGAGACGUAAUAAUGUAAAAAUCAUGCUCAGUAGGAUUAAGCUGAGGCUC